GAUGAAGAACGCAGCGAAAUGCGAUAAGUAAUGUGAAUUGCAGAAUUCAGUGAAUCAUCGAAUCUUUCAACGCACAUUGCGCCCCUUGGUAUUCCGAGGGGCAUGCCUGUUCGAGUGUCAUUAUAACCCCUCAAGCUCAGCUUGGUGUUGGGGCCUGCUGCACUGGCAGCCCUUAAAAUCAGUGGCGGCGCCAUCUGGCUCUAAGCGUAGUAAUUCUUCUCGCUAUGGAGUCCUGGUGGAUGCUUGCCAUCAACCCCCAAUUUUUCUAUGGUUGACCUCGGAUCAGGUAGGGAUACCCGCUGAACUUAAGCAUAUCAAUAAGCGGAGGA
rnacentral:misc_RNA from 1 species